rnacentral:rRNA from 1 species
GACGAACGCUGGCGGCGUGCCUAAUACAUGCAAGUAGGACGCAGUUGCGAACGGGUGAGUCACGCGUAGGUGACUACCUAUUAGAGGGGGAUAACUAUUGGAAACGACAGCUAAUACCGCAUACUAGUAGAUGGACCUGCGUUGUAUUAGCUAGUAGGUAGGGUAAUGGCCUACCUAGGCAACGAUACAUCGCCGACCUGGAGGGGGUAUCGGCCACACGGGGACUUGGAAACGGCCCAGACGCCUACGGGAGGCAGCAGUAGGGAAUCUUCGGCAAUUGGGGGAACCCGGACCGAGCAACGCCGCGGGGGUGAAGAAGGGUUUCGGGUCGUAAAGCUCUGUUGUGAAGGAAGCGGUACUUAACCAGAAAGGAACGGCUAACUACGUGCCAGCAGCCGCGGUAAUUC